rfam:Homo sapiens chromosome 20, GRCh38 reference primary assembly.
UUUUUAGUAUAAAUAUGGCCCAUGAAAUAUUUGGAACAUACUUAUACUAAAA